rnacentral:rRNA from 1 species
UACGUAGGGUGCAAGCGUGUCCGGAAUUAUUGGCGUAAAGAGCUCGUAGGCGGUCUGUCGCGUCUGCUGUGAAAACUCAGGGCUUAACCCUGAGCUUGCAGUGGGUACGGGCAGACUAGAGUGCGGUAGGGGAGACUGGAAUUUCCGGUGUAGCGGUGAAAUGCGUAGAUAUCGGAAGGAACAUCAGUGGCGAAAGCGACUUCCUGGACCAAUACUGACGCUCAUGUGCGAAAGCGUGGGGAGCAAACAGG